CACGAAGUUAGCCGGUGCUUAUUCUUUGGGUACCGUCAUCCCAACCGGGUAUUAGCCAGCUGGAUUUCUUUCCCAACAAAAGGGCUUUACAACCCGAAGGCCUCCUUCACCCACGCGGUAUGGCUGGAUCAGGCUUGCGCCCAUUGUCCAAUAUUCCCCACUGCUGCCUCCCGUAGGAGUCUGGACCGUGUCUCAGUUCCAGUGUGGCUGAUCAUCCUCUCAGACCAGCUACGGAUCGUCGCCUUGGUGGGCCUUUACCCCGCCAACUAGCUAAUCCGACAUCGGCUCAUUCAAUCGCGCAAGGCCCGAAGGUCCCCUGCUUUCACCCGUAGGUCGUAUGCGGUAUUAGCGUAAGUUUCCCUACGUUAUCCCCCACGACAGAGUAGAUUCCGAUGUAUUCCUCACCCGUCCGCCACUCGCCACCCAGAGAGCAAGCUCUCCUGUGCUGCCGUUCGACUUGCAUGUGUUAGGCCUACCGCCAGCGUUCACUCUGAGCCAGGAUCAAACUCU
rnacentral:rRNA from 1 species